AUCACUUCUCGGCCUUUUGGCUAGGAUCAAGUGUAGUAAAAUAUGCAUAAUAUAAUUUCAUCUAAAAUGCAGUAUGAAACUAUAAUUAUUUUUUUAUAAAGAUAGUAUUGUAUUAUAAAAGUGAAUUUUCUUCCGUGAUACUCUACCUCACAACAAAAUCUUUGUUGUUUGGUGUAGAAUAU